CUAACAUUGACUUCAGCUUGCCCUAACACUAUUCGACCAAACCUCCCUUUCCUCCUCUUCGUUCUUCGCCUCUGACAAAAACCAUCCUCCUCUUCGUUCUCUGCCUCCGACCACAACCCUUCUCCUUGUCUUUGUUCUCCGACUACAAUCACAACCCAACCCUCCUCGUCCUCCUCCUUUUCGCCUCGGACCAGCCUCUCUGCUCGAAGAAGGUCAAGAGAAUCAGAGAUCGAGGCCGGCCUUUUGGAGAAAACUUCAGCUUUUGUGUCAUAGGAUUUGUGUUUCAUCUACUGAAGCUUUGUGGGCUGCAUUCGAACUUUCUGGGCAUUCAUGUUCUGAGCUUUCUGGGCAUUCUGCAUAUCUGAGGAGACUUCGAACUGUGUUAUCUAGUCAUGAAGGUUUCUCUAGCUUGGAAGUUUUAAGCUUGGGCCAACAAGUGAAAACACUGCAGUUCGGAAGGAAAUUCAGGUUGAAACAGACAGAAUGCCAGAGAAAUCAAACCGUAUUUCCAAUGUUCCUAUUCAUCUCAGCAUAUACUCCCCAAAUGUUGUCAAUUUAACAUUGAUAGAUUUGCCUGGCUUAACUAAGGUUGCUGUAGGGGCAGCCAGAGAGUAUUGUUCAAGACAUAGAAAACAUGGUUCGUUCUUAUAUAGCAAAGGUAAUAAAAGUCCUUUUCCCUCAAUUUUUAGAUAAAACUCUUCCUAAUUGUUAAUAUUCACUAUUUAUACCCCUGGGAUGUUCAAGUAUUUGGGAAAGUCUUAUGCUCUAGUUUGAUUUAGUCAAAUUAUGUUUUACUUAAUUGGUUUACCCGUCUCCCAGGUUUGAGUAGAGAAUUCAGUUAUCUUAAAGUACUAUUGUAAUGUUGUUUAUUCCCUAUGCAUGCUCUAGUUUUACAACAGAUCUCUGCUAAAGUUAAUGUAUCUCUCACUUUGUGGAUGGGGUCCCUUAUUUUGAUGUGAUUAAAUAUUUAGAGGUGCUCAUCAUGUGGGCUAGAUUUAUCCUGCAAAGUCACUUGAAGCAUAUUCAUUAAAUUGUAGGUUGCUAGUUACUUGAACUUUGGAGUAGAUUUUUGCCUUGAAGUUCAUUGCAAUAAAAACAAAUUUCAUCAUGUAUUCUUGUACAGUGUUCAUUAUCCAAGUAUAUGAUCUCAUAUGGGGUUCAUGCGUAUAUUCUCUUAUAUAUUAUGUAUCAGGCCCAAUUAUAUACUAUCUUAGAGCUGUGCCGGACAUUUGACCAGAUAUUUAAGGAACACUUGGAUGGAGGGUAGGGUAAUCCAACCUCUUUUUAAUUUUUUAAUUUUUUAAAGUAUAUGAAGUAAAAUCAAUUCCAUCGAUCAAUCCUUUUAUUUGCCAUAUACAAGUACACCUGUUUAGAAAUUGAGGCUAAUAUAUCCCCUCUCAAAACAUUCAAUUUUCUGAUCUAGAACUCAAUGUUCCGUUUAGUUUAUCGAAGAAUUUGUUUGAUCUUUCCAUUUUACUUAUGAAUUCAAUUUCCUGUUUAGAAAGGAUUUGUUUGCUCUUUCAAUGUCAUAUCUUCUUUUUCAAGUGAAAAUUCUUAUGAAUUAAAAAAAAUUGAAAGCAGUUAAAUUCUAAUAUGAAUGACAUAGCAUGUGUAUCAGAUGGUUUAGUAUAUUUGCAUGAUUUAGUAUAUUUGGUGUUUAUCAGUUAUUAGGAAGGAAAAAGAAGUGAUAAUAAUGAUGCAUUAUAUAGACAUGAGCAUGAUGCAUCAGAUGGUUUUCUUGAGAGAUUACUGCUUGAGUGUU